GACGAACGCUGGCGGCGUGCUUAACACAUGCAAGUCGAACGGUGAAGCUCCAGCUUGCUGGAGUGGAUCAGUGGCGAACGGGUGAGUAACACGUGAGCAACCUGCCCCUGACUCUGGAAUAAGCGCUGGAAACGGCGUCUAAUACUGGAUACGAGAAGGGUCCGCAUGGGCACUUUCUGGAAAGUGUUUCGGUUGGGGAUGGGCUCGCGGCCUAUCAGCUUGUUGGUGAGGUAGUGGCUCACCAAGGCGACGACGGGUAGCCGGCCUGAGAGGGCGACCGGCCACACUGGGACUGAGACACGGCCCAGACUCCUACGGGAGGCAGCAGUGGGGAAUAUUGCACAAUGGGCGAAAGCCUGAUGCAGCGACGCCGCGUGAGGGAUGACGGCCUUCGGGUUGUAAACCUCUUUCAGCAGGGAAGAAGCGAAAGUGACGGUACCUGCAGAAGAAGCACCGGCUAACUACGUG
rnacentral:rRNA from 1 species